rfam:Canis lupus familiaris chromosome X, whole genome shotgun sequence.
GGGGGGAGGUCGGAUCCCAGGCUGUGUCCCCGGCGCCCUGUGCUCCGGGGCCUGCGCUGUUGGAUUCGGGCUCCCGGCCGGGCAGCCCCCU